AUCAGCGAUUUGCAUGGGGGGUGGGGGAGGCGGUGGGGGUCGAAGGGCUGAAGAUGCGGAUGAGGCCGAGUCGCCGGGCGCUUUCGGGGGCGCUGCGCCGAGGCGCAGACAAGGGGGCCCGGAACCGCGGUUACGAGCUGCCGCGGCGGCAGCAGGAGCGGUUUUCUCCCAGGUCCGGUUUUCUCGGAGGAUGCUGCAGCCCGCGACUCGAGGCCAUUCACCUCCAUCCGAAACCUCAGCUCCAAAUGCCUUGUUUUAGAAGCUAGAGCUUGGGAGGCUCCGAGGACGGUUCCCGGGGGAGCGGGUGACAGGCGGUGAGGCUCUCGCGUCCUCUCUGAGUCCUGCACAGGGACCGAGGGAGAGGGUGCUAGCAAUGGCUUAGCUGCCGAACGCGUGGUCUUGCCAUUUUCGCGUCCCGAUACGGCACACACGAUCGCCCGAUCGAUCGGAAAAAGGAGGGAAAGGUAGAGUGGAAAAUUGAUUUCUUGCAGAGACGGAGGCGCCGAAUGAUAGAGGGAAUAAACAUUUGCCCUGGAUAAAAAUGUUCUUGGCUGUGUUCCUGCCCUAAUAAGGAUCUAGACCAGAAGAUUUUCUUCAGUCAUCAAAUUUUACCCCAAAGAUUACUGUUGUGUUAUAUAUGUCUGUUUUACACAGGUUGACCGAUAUUGGUAGGGGGAUCUGAGGUCCACACAAGGAGGUUGAAUGUCCUGACUUAGAUUUGUUACAAAUUCAACCUUAACAAUUGUGAUAUAUAUAGAAAGCAUACUUUGCAUAUAUGAUCUUCUUAUGCUGUCUAAACCUACUUACCUAAAUUGCUAUUCAAAAAAAAUACAGUUGUUUGUUGAGGACCCAACCUGACUUAAGUCAGAAAAUGUAACAUUAAAAUUUUUAUUUUAUAUGUGAAAUGAUUGUGAGGUUGCUAUUCUUUUAAAUAUUUGGAGAAUAAGAAGA